rnacentral:lncRNA from 1 species
CACAUUUUCUUUAUCCAAUCUCUAGUUGAUGAGCAUUUGGGCUGUUUCCAUGAUUUAGCUAUUGCAAACUGUGCUGCUUGCUAUAAACGUGGGCAUAUAUUGCUGUGGUAUGAUUCUUUUAAUUCUUUUGGGAAGAUACCCAGCAGGGGGAUUAGCUAGGUCAAAUGGGACCUCUAAUCCCAGUUGUUUGCCGUAUCUCCAUAUUGAUUUCCACAGUGGUUGCACCAUUAUGCACUCCCACCGACAGUGGAGAAGGGUUCCUUUUUCUCCACAUCCCUGCUAGCAUUUGUUAUUGGUUGAUUUCUUACAGCAAUCAUUCUUUCUGGAGUGAGGUAGAAUCUCAGUGUUGUUUUCAUUUGCAUUUCUCGAAUGACCAGUGAUGCUGAACAUUUUUUCAUAAGUUUAUUGGCUAUUUCUACUUCUUUGUCUGAGAAAUGUCUGUUCAUUUCAGAUGCCCAUUUUGGGGUUGGGUCUUUAAAUUUGGGAGGUCUGAGAUUUUUAAGUUCUUUAUGAAGUCCAGCUGGUAAAGAUUUUUUUCCUACAUUGUGGGUUGUUUCUUCAUGCUGUUGGCGGUUUUUCUUGCUGUGCAGAAGCUUUUUAAUAAGAUAAGAUCCCAGUUGUUGAUUGUUUGUGCUAGUUCACGUGAACCUGAGGUUUUGUUCAUGAAAUCUUUUCCUACACCAAUGUCCUCAAGAGUUCUACCUAAGCUCUCUUCCAGCUGGUUUUAAUAUUUAGAUCUUUGAUCCAUUUCAAUUUUAGUUUAGUCACCUCAUCUUUGACAAGGGAUUGGUAUUUUUCGAACACACUCAUGUGUUUCCCAUGCUGUGUGCACUGGGGGCUGGAGGCAUGAGUAGAGGCUCUCAAUGCACUGCAUGUCUAGGACCGCCCAGGUGGUAACAUACCCUGCUGCAGGUCCCCAGGCCACAGCUGAAGCAACAAGGUGUAGAGUUUCCCUUCCAAACCCACCCUCAAAUGUUGCCCCUGCAAAGUCAAAGAAGCUGAGAGAAAGAAGUGGGCCUGGGGCACAAAUGCCAGGUACUCAGGUGUGGUUUGGGCAGGAGGACAGAUGUGUGGGUUUGUCCGGAGAGAAGCAUCCCACCCACACAGCCUGGGAGAAUGGAUAAGAAAAAUCCAUGCUGUCUGGAAGACAGACAUGCUUGUCAUUCCCUCCGGGCAAGCUAGCUCGCCUCCGUGAACUCGGGGGUCCCCUCUCACACAAUCUCUUGCCUCUCUUGCACACAGACAUCGUCUUACAAAGAAGCAGUUGUGGGACCCAUGGUCCUCUUAGUUUCCAUCCUGGCUGCGAUUAACAUCUUGACAUUUUGUUUGUCA